CGAACGGACGAGAAGCUUGCUUCUCUGAUGUUAGCGGCGGACGGGUGAGUAGCACGUGGAUAACCUACCUAUAAGACUGGGAUAACUUCGGGAAACCGGAGCUAAUACCGGAUAAUAUUUUGAACCGCAUGGUUCACAAGUGAAAGACGGUCUUGCUGUCACUUAUAGAUGGAUCCGCGCUGCAUUAUCUAGUUAGUAAGGUGACCGCUUACCAAGGCGACGAUGCAUAGCCGACCUGAGAGGGUGAUCUGCCACACUGGAACUGAGACACGGUCCAGACUCCUACCGGAGAGCAGCAGUAUGGAAUCUUCCGCAAUGGGCGAAAGCCUGACGGAGCACCGCCGCGUGAGUGAUGAAAGUCUUCGGAUCGUAAAACUCUGUUAUUAGGGAAGAACAUAUGUGUAAGUAACUGUGCACAUCUUGACAGUACCUAAUCAGAAAGCCACGGCUAACUACGUCGCCAGCAGCCGCGGUAAUACGUAGGUGGCAAGCGUUAUCCGGAAUUAUUGGGCAUAAAGCGCGCGUAGGCGGUUUUAUAAGUCUGAUGUGAAACGCCCACGGCUCAACCGUGGAGGGUCAUUGGAAACUGGAAAACUUGAGUGCAGAAGAGGAAAGUGGAAUUCCAUGUGUAGCGGUGAAAUGCGCAGAGAUAUGGAGGAACACCAGUGGCGAAGGCGACUUUCUGGUCUGUAACUGACGCUGAUGUGCGAAAGCGUGGGGAUCAAACAGG
rnacentral:rRNA from 1 species